AACCUUUUCAUAUACACUUAAACUUAAAAUCUUGGGGGAAUCUUUGUUUACUUCUCCUUUGUGCACUCCCAUAUCCAGUUGGCCUUUUCUACCACUUUCUUGCAAGUCCCCCUUUCAUUCAUUCCUUCUUCUAGUAUCUUAGUUUAAGCACCAUAUGUAGGAUAUUUCAACAAUAGCCUGACUGCCUGAUCAGCUUCUUUAUUCUCUCCUUCACACUGGCACUAAAAUUUCUCUAACGUAUCAUAACACUCAUGUCACUUCCUCCAUAAAAGCUUCAAUGAUUCCUCAUUGGCAAAUGAAUAAAUUACAAAUGCCUUAAUUUGAUGCUUAUGGUCUAGACCCCCUGCUUCAGUCUUGUGCCAUCCUAUCUUUCAGCCAAUCAGAGUUGAUUGCCACCCUCAGGAAAACCUUUUCUUCCCAGGACUUAUAAACUUUUAAUCCAUCACCAUGAUUCUUCUUUUGCAUUUGAGAGUGUCAGUGACCCAUUUUGUUGGUUAUAUGCUAGUAUUAUUAAUUAAAACCAUUAAUUACUCAGGAAAAUAUAUCUCUGGAACUUUUUAAAUGACACAGAGCCCAAGAGAUCAUCUAGUGUAAUCCUUCAUUUUACAGAUGAGAAAACUGAGACUCAAAGACUUGUAAUAACUAGACUAAAUUGAGUUUUGGAGCCAACAGCACUGCACCAAAUUCUGACUAGAGUUCUUUCCAGUCUGCCAUUUGACCUCUCAAAUAGUCCAAAUGGCUUGACUCCAGCUUAAGUUUCAAAAAAACAUUCUAGUCCUCAUCCAGGUUUUCCCAUAUCUUGAUAGGUCAUAAGUGACAGGGCUUCUGACUCCAAGUCUAGAUCCUGUUUCAUUAAACUAUGUUUCAAGCCCCCUCUUGCUCCCACAUUCUGUGAGUCAAUUCCUUUUCCAAUGGGAGCCAUUUUCAACUUCUUUUAAACUAAAAGCAAACAGCUUAUUCCCAGCAUGGUGCUACCACAUUUUCCGAUAACUCUGGGGUGGCAUAUUUUAAUAUCAUUUAGUGAAAGGUUAUUUGUCAAUUUGCUUCAUUUCAGAUUUUACAUCUAGAAACCCCUAGAAACCAGUCUAUCAAAUCCUUGUAUUGAGGGUGAUCAGUUGAGGUUGUGACUGAUGGUGGUCUGAUCCCAGUUUUAAGAGUCCAUGAGGAUCUUAUCCAUCUAUCCAUUGGUUGAAGUUUGAACUAAAAUUGAAUCCAUAAGGAGUUGCCUCCCUUCUAAGAACUUUGGAAAUGGAUGCUCUCUGUUUUCUAUUGUAAGCCCUUUAUUCUUUCCAGGGCCAGUCAAUUUUCCUUGAUGACCCAAGACUUCACUUGGAGUCAGAACAUUCCUGUACUGAGUUUUCCCAGAGUGAUUCUGCCUUGUCUACCAGAUUUUUUUUCUUUUUGCUUCUCACACAGAAGUUUUUCAUUCCAUCCCCCUCUGUUGCUGAUUUGUAGUUUUCCCAAGCAAGAAGGUACUGGGGGAGAGGCUGCCCUGUUUUCUGUGAGAACUGAUUAGUGUCUUUUGAAGAAGGCAGUUGGCUACUACUGUGGAAGUAUUUUAGUGACUAAGGAGCGUGGGAAAAUAUCUCUUUGUUGGCAGAGGAAUGAACUUGUCAUGUAAACUAACUGAUAUAUCCAAGGAAAGGGACAGUAUUUCCUGCUGUUUGUUCCUUUCUAUUGAUGGGUGUAGGAGCUACAGGAAUGGAAAUAACCCAAGGUAAUCCUUAUACUUCCUUUAUAUGGAGGAUGUAAAGAAUUUACAGUUGGGUCUUUGCAAAGCUUCUGACACUUGCCACCCAGAGUGUCAGUAAAGAUGAGUUACCCUUCCUGGAAGAACUUUGAAUGAGAUGCAAAGAGACCCUGGGAACUUGACCAGUCAAACUUAGAAGUAUGAAGAGAAUGUUAGUGGGAGGAAGUGGAGGCCGUGAGUCAGCAUGAGUCAUUCUGUUCCAAUGAGAAUGAAGGCUGACUGAGAGGCAUCCUGUUCUCAAGGAGGUGGAGCAAUCAACUUCUCCCUGAAUAAAUGGGAGAUGACACAGGAAGCUGCAUGUCACAGUUGAUCGAAAAUGACAUAGACAUUGAAAAUCAGGAUUUUGGCCCACCUCUGAGCUCCCUGUUGAAUGGCGAUCACAAUCAGGAGAAAUGCAAAUGAAAAAUGAAAAAAAGUUCCUGGGAUUGGAUCUAAUGAACUUACACUAUAAAGUGGCUGUUGUGAGGAUCAAAUGAGACCAUAAUUGCAAAGCACGUAGCACGAUGCCUGGCACAUAAUAAAUCCUACAUUACUGACCGGGAGCCUGACAAACACAUGAUGGUCUUGGGAUGCUUCCUAGAAAUGAGAAUGUGAACAGAAAAGCAGGAAGGCCACAGAGAAUACAAGAAGACCCAAUGUAAGGGGAUAUAGAUUGCAUGAUAUGGGAAACCGUUUGUCACAACAAUAUAAUUUCACUGAAACCUUUGAAAGGACUUUUUUCUUUUUCUAAAUGUUAUACAAAGGAGGAUUUAUAAUACUCUGCCCACAUGCUUCUCCAAGGGAUAGAUGAAUUACAGAAGUUAUUUGGUCAUUUAGACAAUAAGAUCACAGCACCCAAUGCCAGCAUCAUCCAUGUCAUACAAUCAAUUCUGAAGUUCUAAAGAGAGACCUUAAGAGUGUCCUUGUAUCACUUUUUCUGACUACCUGGAAAUGCUGUGUGACUUCUCCAUAAAAGAGUCUUUUUGAGUUCUAUUUCAAGAUAUAAAUGAAAACUACACAGGAUAAAAAAGUAAGUUGUCCCAACUUUUUGAAAAUAAAGGGGGGGAAAAGUAAUUAUUUGAUUAAAAAAAUUAAAGUAUUGUUAUCCCUAUUUUAUAAGUGGGAAAACAAUUGCAGAGAGGCUAUAACUUGCCUCAUGGUUAUACAAUUAACGACAACUCCUCCUUCUCCUACAAUAAUAAUAAUAAUGAACAUUUUUACAGAGCAUACCAAGCAGUGUGCUAAUUGUUUUACAGUUAUUAUCGUAUUUGGUCCUCACGGCAACUUUAAGGAAUAGGUGCUAUUAUACUCCUCAUUUACUGAUGAGGAAACUGAGGCACGUAGAGGUUAAGUAACUUACUCGGGAUUACAUAGUACUAGGUAUCUGAGACUGAAUUUGAACCCAGGUCUUCUUGACUCCAGAUGUGUAGUACUCCACUGCAACUGGAUCACUCAAGAGGUAUUAACCUGAAUCCAACUCUUCCUGACUCCAGCUGCAGUACCUUAUCAAAUGUAACCAGGAGUUGGUCCAAUCCUGUACUGAGAAUCAGAGAUAAUAAUUGGACAUCCUAAAGGGUACAAACCAAAAGAAACCCACAUAGCUGACCAUCUUUGGAGAAUUUAUAGAAAGCUACAAACAAGAAUCAAGAGCAAAGGGGAAGAGGAGAUUACAGAGUCUAUAUGUAGAGAGAAUACCUCCAGGAACAAGAACCUGAAGCAACCCAAGUAUCAAAGUUAAUUAAAACUGAUGUAUUUCUAGUCUACAGAACACAAUCUACUCCCACAUUAUGAUUAAACUGGGCUUACCAAUCUGAUUCCAGUGUCGGUUGCUUAUUUGCUUCUUUUAUCUGUCCAAGCAUUUGACUUAAGUAAAUUCAGGUGUGAUCACAAACUGUAGGACAACACUGUUAUUGACAUUUCCCUGGAAGCCAUAAAAGGAGAAAGAUAACGUUCAAGCUUUCUUUACAAAUUUACCUCUUUCUUUCUUUCUUUUCUUUCUUUUUUUUUUUUUUUCAGAGAUCCCAUUGAGAAUCUUUUGAUUUGGAGUGAAUGUGUAUAACUAAAAUUUGAUAGUUUGAUUAGUUUGCUGUCAUGUAAAUGGUCAAUUUCUUCUGCUCCCUUCUAGUGGGAAAGACGCUGAUAAUGUCUGUUCAGUAAAUGUGUAAAAAACCUCAGACAAGCCAUUUUUAUUUAUGAAGUGGUUUCUGCUACUUGGGGCCAUUUGGUGACCAGACAUUGACCUUUGUCCUUUUACUGUGGGACAAUGGAGCAUAUUGUCAGGUGCUAUGGCACAGUUUGGGUGUGCAGACAUUCUGGGCUUUAAUUAUUGUGGAUAAACUUGAUGCCAAGUUUGGAAUAAAAUGCUGAUGGCUCAGUAACUUAGGCAACGAAUCAAUAGAGAGAGCUGCAUGUUUGGAGGCCAGGAAAGCCACAGUAUCUGUCCAUUCUUGUAUCUAAUUAAAGUCUGUGGAGGUGAACUUCUUAGGUUAGACACUCUCCUCGUUUAUUUGAAGGACUUGUUCUAACUAUAUUAACUGCUCUUACAUGUCACUUCAACAUAUUAAAAAUAACUUUUGCCCCUAUUUUCCCCCUUGGGACAUUUGGGCAAAUGAGCACAAAAAUAUAGGCAAGAUUUUUUGUGUUUAUGUUUAAUUUAUAAUUUUAGGUGGUGGCUCAACUAUAAUUUUUAAAACCUCCAGGAUAAAAUAGAUUUUAAAAAUAAAAGACUUUUUCUCAGGCCAUGAACUUCUGUCUUAUGUGUGUGUAUUGUCAAAUGCAGUCUGAAACCCAGUCUUGUAACUGUUUCAUUAUUAGCCUCAAGUUAUUGGAUUGUUUAUUGUUCCUCUUGAGAAGAUUGUGGUGUAUAGUGGAGCUGGCAGAAAUCCCUAAUAAUGGUUGGUUCUGAGGACAGCUCUAAGUAACUCUUCAUCAUUAUGCCAUCACCCAGUGGAACUCUGAUUGGAAAUGAACUUGUUAAACACAUAUACAUACACAGGGAGGGAAGGAGAGAGAGAAAGACAGAGAGAGACAGAGACACAGACACAGAGACACAGAAAGAGACACAGAGACAGAGAGAAACAGUAUGCUUAAUAAUCUGGGAAAGGCUGAAUGGAUAGUAGCCCAUGAACAGCAAAGAAUGUGGUUAUGAUUGUACCACAAUCUACCCUAAGAAAUGACAAAUAUGAAGACCACAACAAAAUUUGGGAAGUCUUUAGUGAAUUGGUAGUAUGCAUACUUAUUGAAAGUAUUUUUAAUAGUGUUUUAAUAAAACAGUAAUAAAAUGCUCCCAACACACAUAAAAGAAAAAAAAGAGAUUAGGAGACAUCAUUGUUAUUUUUUUUAAAUAGACAUGUUGAUUUGUUUAAAAUACAGUAUUAAAAAGCUUGAAAUCUCUGAUUUUCUGAGCCAUAAUUCUCUCCCCCCAUUUUCUUUAUUUGUGUGAUAGGGAAUUUUUUUAUAGUUCCUUAGAAAUUUUAGAAAUUCAGAAUAAAACUUGUUUGUAUUUUUUUUUUCCUAAUGGACCUGCAGCCAUCCACAAAUAUUGAUUUUCUUACCCCAAUGCCCCAAGGCUCCCUCAUUCUAGCCCCAAAUAAUGGGCCAUUCAUUACAAUAAUUCUUUCUCUAAACCCUAAAUGAUGGCUCCUCCAUUAUUGCUUCUAUCACUACUGGAGGGAGAGGAAUGUUGGAGAUUGGAGAGGGAUGUUGGAGACUGGACAGGAACAGAGAAGUUAAUAGUACCUAGCUGUCAUUGUUACUGUUCUAUUGGAGCCUGGUAUUGGAUUACAUUUUUAAGGGAUGCCUCUGGAUGGAGAAGUUUAUAUUUGGCCACCUUGACCCAGAGUAAGCAGGUACCUUCAAAUCACCCUAACUGAUGAAAGGAUUCUUUAUGUGAAGUUGUUAUUACUCUCACAUAUCAUACCUCUUUAAUUAGAUGAAUACAGAUAAUUUAUUGAGGAGCAGCAGCAGCAGCAGCAGUGUGCUGCUAUGGAGAUUUGGCUCAAAAAGACUUGUUUAGGGUGUUAACCCACAGCAUGCCUUUUGGAAAUAGUGUUUACACUUAACACUACUGUGGUUUUCUACCCACAGACCUAAAGAAACUCAGAGGAUGAGGAUGACUGAACUGUCACCAAACCAGGAUCUAAUUUUAAAGCUAAAUCUUUUUGUUAUACUUCUAAAGACAAGAUAUUUUCCUGAGCCUUUUAUUUUAAAAAAAUAGCUAGAUUUAGAUAUAUAAACGUGUGUGUG